GCUGACUUAGGAGUUUCUGGAUUGGAGAAGCAGCGUAUUCUGCCCUCGUCUUUCUCAGGUGUCAAAUUACAGUACCAGUGCAUUAAUUUGAGGAUUCACAACUAUAUUGAUAACCUGACAUUUUUUUUCCUGUAAACCAACAAAUGUAAGCCAAAUAGUCAGAAGUUUGUCUUGGUAAGAGAAGUUUGCCUCUGAAACAUCUGUAUUCCAAGCAUUUUAGGUCUGAUACUAUGCAUCCAUUUUUUAUUUUGCAAUGUUAAUUAAAUCUAAAACAAGAGUUUGUGUAUAUGGCAUGAAUUCAAUUAGACAUUGAAUUUCAUCUCAAUAUCUAUUAAAAGGAAUUAUUAAUAAAGUUUGUUUAUUGACA
rnacentral:lncRNA from 1 species